rnacentral:rRNA from 1 species
AUUGAACGCUGGCGGCAUGCUUUACACAUGCAAGUCGAGCGGCAGCGCGGGGCAACCUGGCGGCGAGCGGCGAACGGGUGAGUAAUACAUCGGAACGUACCCCGUUGUGGGGGAUAGCCCGGCGAAAGCCGGAUUAAUACCGCAUACGACCUGAGGGCGAAAGAAGGGGAUCGCAAGACCUCUCGCAGUUGGAGCGGCCGAUGGCGGAUUAGCGAGUUGGUGGGGUAAAGGCCUACCAAGGCGACGAUCCGUAGCGGGUGUGAGAGGACGAACCGACACCGUUGGACUGUGACACAGUCCAGACGCCUACGGGAGGCAGCAGUGGGGAAUUUUGGAUAAUGGGGGCAACCCUGAUCCAGCAAUUCCGAGUGAGUGAAGAAGGCCAUAGGGUUGUAAAGCUCUUUCGGCAGGAACGAAACGGUCUUUUCUAAUACAAGGGGCUAAUGACGGUACCUGAAGAAGGAGCACCGGCUAACUACGUGCCAGCAGCCGCAGUAA